GAGGGUAUAGUGCAGUGGUGGAGUGCAUGCUUAGCAUGCAUGAGGCCCUGGCUUCAAUCCCUGGUACCUCCA
rnacentral:tRNA from 1 species